rnacentral:rRNA from 1 species
UGAGCAACCUGCCCUUCACUUUGGGAUAACCCUCGGAAACGGGGGCUAAUACCGGAUAGGACUGCUGGCCGCAUGGUUGGUGGUGGAAAGUUUUUCGGUGGGGGAUGGGCUCGCGGCCUAUCAGCUAGUUGGUGUGGGUAAUGGCCCACCAAGGCGACGACGGGUAGCCGGCCUGAGAGGGUGACCGGCCACACUGGGACUGAGACACGGCCCAGACUCCUACGGGAGGCA